rnacentral:rRNA from 1 species
GGAAUAUUGGACAAUGGCCGCAAGGCUGAUCCAGCCAUCCAGCGUGCAGGAAGACGGCCCUACGGGUUGUAAACUGCUUUUGUCAGGGAAGAAACCUCUGGAUUUACUCCGGCGCUGACGGUAACUGAAGAAUAAGCACCGGCUAACUCCGUGCCAGCAGCCGCGGUAAUACGGAGGGUGCGAGCGUUAUCCGGAAUUACUGGGUUUAAAGGGUGCGUAGGCGGCUAUGUAAGUCAGGAGUGAAAGUUUGCGGCUCAACCGUAAAAUUGCUUUUGAUACUGCGUGGCUAGAAUUAGGAUGAGGUCAGCGGAAUGUGGCAUGUAGCGGUGAAAUGCAUAGAUAUGCCAUAGAACACCAAUUGCGAAGGCAGCUGGCUAGACCUGGAUUGACGCUGAGGCACGAAAGCGUGGGGAGCGAAC